AUUGAACGCUGGCGGCAUGCUUUACACAUGCAAGUCGAACGGUAACAGGUUAAGCUGACGAGUGGCGAACGGGUGAGUAAUGCAUCGGAACGUGCCCGAUCGAGGGGGAUAACGCAGCGAAAGCUGCGCUAAUACCGCAUACGAUCUGAGGAUGAAAGCGGGGGACCGUAAGGCCUCGCGCGAUCGGAGCGGCCGAUGUCAGAUUAGGUAGUUGGUGGGGUAAAGGCCCACCAAGCCGACGAUCUGUAGCUGGUCUGAGAGGACGACCAGCCACACUGGGACUGGGACACGGCCCAGACUCCUACGGGAGGCAGCAGUGGGGAAUUUUGGACAAUGGGCGAAAGCCUGAUCCAGCAGUGCCGCGUGCAGGAAGAAGGCCUUCGGGUUGUAAACUGCUUUUGUACGGAGCGAAAAGGUCCUUUCUAAUACAAGGGGCUCAUGACGGUACCGUAAGAAUAAGCACCUGCUAACUACGUGCCAGCAGCCGCCGUAAGAC
rnacentral:rRNA from 1 species